rnacentral:rRNA from 1 species
AUUGAACGCUGGCGGCAUGCUUUACACAUGCAAGUCGAACGGUAACAGGCCGCAAGGUGCUGACGAGUGGCGAACGGGUGAGUAAUGCAUCGGAACGUGCCCAGUCGUGGGGGAUAACGCAGCGAAAGCUGCGCUAAUACCGCAUACGAUCUAUGGAUGAAAGCGGGGGACCGUAAGGCCUCGCGCGAUUGGAGCGGCCGAUGUCAGAUUAGGUAGUUGGUGGGGUAAAGGCUCACCACGCCAACGAUCUGUAGCUGGUCUGAGAGGACGACCAGCCACACUGGGACUGAGACGCGGCCCAGACGCCUACGGGAGGCAGCAGUGGGGAAUUUUGGACAAUGGGCGCAAGCCUGAUCCAGCAAUGCCGCGUGCAGGAAGAAGGCCUUCGGGUUGUAAACUGCUUUUGUACGGAACGAAACGGUUCGGGUUAAUACCCUGAGCUAAUGACGGUACCGUAAGAAUAAGCACCGGCUAACUACGUGCCAGCAGCCGCCGUAAGAC